UACGUAGGGUGCAAGCGUUGUCCGGAAUUAUUGGGCGUAAAGAGCUCGUAGGCGGUUUGUCGCGUCUGCUGUGAAAACUCGGGGCUUAACUCCGGGCCUGCAGUGGGUACGGGCAGACUAAGAGUGCGGGUAGGGGAGAACUUGGAAUUCCGUGGUGUAGGCGGUGAAAUGCGCAGAUAUCAGGAGGAACACCAGCGGCGAAGGCGGCACUCUGGACCGGCACUGACGCUGAGGAGCGAAAGCGUGGGUAGCAAACAGG
rnacentral:rRNA from 1 species